rnacentral:sRNA from 1 species
GUUUAGCCCCGAUAGAAGUGGAAAUCCUUUUGUGGUGGGGUUCACCACAAAAGAUUGAAACGGAUAGCGGGACUGAAC